rnacentral:rRNA from 1 species
CAGUAGCCGCGGUAAUACGGAGGGGGCUGGCGUUGUUCGGAAUUACUGGGCGUAAAGCGCACGUAGGCGGCUUGGUAAGUUAGAGGUGAAAGCCUGGAGCUCAACUCCAGAAUUGCCUUUAAGACUGCCGAGCUAGCAGGUGAGAGAGGUAAGUGGAAUUCCGAGUGUAGAGGUGAAAUUCGUAGAUAUUCGGAAGAACACCAGUGGCGAAGGCGGCUUACUGGCUCAUACUGGACGCUGAGGUGCGAAAGCGUGGGGAGCAAACAGGAUUAGAUACCCGCGUAGUCCCUGUCUCUUAUAC